AUUGUUGUGGAGUAUGUCACUAAUAUGGUGCAUAAAGCUCAAGAUACUGCUACUAAAAGAGGAAAACUUCUCAUAGAAGAUUUUAUGUUUUUAAUCCGAAAGGUUGUAGAAAAAAUUCGAAUAGAUGAGUGUCUCCAUAAUAGAUAAGACAAAUUUAAGAUAUCUUCCCAGGCUUCCA